ACUGGAUUCAAUGGGGGUAGCCUGGAUGCGAUCUAACACCAUCACUGGAAAGCUAAAGGAGCCAAAUCAGAAUCCCUGGACUUCUCACAUCACCUAUGGUAGAGGUGCGCAUGUCCAACUGAGAAUCAGAGAACACAUCCAGAAUGAGAAGGCCAAUGUAGAUCUGAAGCAGGCUGAGACCCAGAAGGAGAAGACCUUCUCCCUAAAACACGGUAACGACAAUUGUGUAAGUCACCUCCAUCAUCCUCACUUCAUCUCCUGAAGAUUAGACUCAACCCUUAGGAGAAGGAGUGCAAAGAAAUAAAAGAAAAUCAGCUCUGAGCUAGCAUCCAUGCCCAUCCUCGUCUACUUUAUAUGUGGGACGCCUACCACAAUAUGGCUUGCCAAGCAGUGCCAUAUCCACAUCUGGGAUCCAAACUCGCAAACCCUAGGCCGCCGAAGUGGAAGAUGCGCACUUAACUGCUGCGCCACCGGGCCAGACCCCAUGUUGACCAUUUUUAAGCAUAUAGUUACGGGCAUUAAGUGCAUUCAUUUUGUUGUGCAACCAUCACCACUAUCCAUCACCAGAACUUUUUUCAUUUUCUAAAACUCAAGUUCUGUACCCAUUAAAUGCUAACUCCCUAUUCCUCACCUCACCCCUGCCACCACUGAUAAUUGAUAUUCUAUUUUCUGUCUCUAUGAAUUUGACAACUCUAGGUGCCUCAUACAAGGGGAAUCAUACAAUAUUUGUCUUUUUGUGUCUGGCUUAUUUUACUUAGUAUAAUGUCUCCAAGUUUCUUUCAUGUUGUAGCAUGGAUCAGAAUUUAAUGAUGUUUUAAGAUUAAAAAAUACUCCAUUGUGUAUAUAUACCACAUUUUGUCUAUCCACUCAUUCAUUGAUGGACCUUUGGGUUGUUUCCACUUUGUGGCUAUUGUGAAC
rnacentral:lncRNA from 1 species